ensembl:miRNA MIR425 microRNA 425
GGAUAGAAAGCGCUUUGGAAUGACACGAUCACUCCCGUUGAGCGGACAGCCAAGAAGCCAUCGGGCAUAUCGUGUCUGUCCAAUGCCCUUUCGGCGCCUCCC